rnacentral:rRNA from 1 species
UCGAAACCUGCCCAGCAGAGCGACCCGUGAACACGUUCAACCUCGUGGGUGUUGGGGUGUUGCUUGGUGCCUUGUGCGUCGGCUCGCCCCUAUCCCAAGCCAAGGGUCGGCUCACUCGUGAGAUGUUCCCUUGGCAAAACAACGAACCCCGGCGCGUAAUGCGUCAAGGAAUAUAAACUUUAUGUGUGUACUCUCCUUUCGUCCGGUUAGCCGGGCGUUGGAGUGGUGCCAUGUCUUAACAAUA